ensembl:lncRNA
UGCUGAUGUAGAGAAGUAUUCUAUGGCUUGCUAGCUUACAUAUUUAUGAAGUUGCUAACAUUAACAUUACGUGAAAGGGAAAUUACGUUGUGUAUUUAGCAGUAUUGUGUUGUUACAUAAGUACUCUACUCCGUUAAAUAAAAUUCACAAUUAAGCUCGCUAACGUAAGCUCGAUUGAACUAGUCGAAAUAUUAUAAACACACACACACACAACUUGUUUUAUUCACAACCCGUCAGUCAAGCAAAAUCUGGGCCGUCUCUUUUAUUUUGUUCGUUUCGGAUAAAAAGCGACACGAUCGACAUGACGACGGAAAGCGGAUGGAAUAAACAUUCAGAUGUUUGCGUUUAAAAACAAACAAACAGACAAACAAAAAACAUGAAUCCGCGUUUUUAAGCUCAGCAUUUGUACAGCACAUGCGUUUCGUCACGACACACGACGACGGUACAGAGAAACACAAUGGUGAUACAUUCAGAUUAAAAAAAUAUUAAAAGGUCCAUGUUUUCCAGCACGGAGCGAUCAACAAGGAUUAACAUUACAGGGACAUUCCAGCGCUUUUCUUUAAACCGAACAAAAACACACCCCUUUUUUUUUUUUUUUUUUUUUUUUUUUCUCUCUCGCGUGUUUCAUCGUGUUUUAAAAUGAUUUUGUGAAAUUUGUGCUUGUAAAGUAAGAUACAGGACACUAGGACAUUAGCCUUGUAGCUUCUGUGCAAAACUAAAGGAGGUGGGUUUGGGGUAAAGAUUGGAUUUCUGUAUGAACCGGUCCUUUAUUCCGACUUUAUUCCUGUUAAACACAGCUACAUCACUGUCUGUGGCUGUAAGAUGGAAAUAACACAACCACAAAUAUUGGAAAAUACAGCAUUGUUAUAUUAUUUUAGAUAUUAUAAAAGUAAUUUUUUUUUUUUUAACAGGAGAAAAUUUCGCAAAAAGUCACAUAUUAUCAGUACAAGUCAUUAACAAUGAAAAAAUACGAAUAAGUGCAUUUCUUUCCACUUUAUUGCUUUUUCACCGUUGCUUUAUUUAUUAUUUGUAUUAAAAGUCGCUUCAAUCAAUCAAUAUUAUUACCAAUUAGUUCUCGAUCUUAUCUAUUAUAUCACGGGGCCAUUGAAUUCUCUAAUCCGAUCGGUCAGAAGCUGUUGAUUAAUUCCGAUUCAUUCCGUAGCAUAGAAUUAGUACAACUUGUUCUACUUUAGUAAAGAUAAAUUGUGCUUGUGGCAGAUUAUUGUGGUAGAAGAGGAAUAAAGAGCACACUUUGGGAUGUGCUGUUAUUGGAAAAUAAUCAACUUCAUGUGGUCUGCUAAGUGUCGAGCCACAUCUCACACCUCCUGUCCUUGGGCCUCAUUAACGAAUCUUUGUAGUAAAGUUGUGUGUAAAUGUUUGCGUAAGAAUUCGAAACGUACACAAUUUUCCAAAAGGCCGAUUUUCUUCAUCUCCGCGUACGUAUACGGGAUCGAUCACCUGUCGAGUGCAAAGGACGUUCCCGACACGGCUCGUUUGCAUUUAGUGACGCCCACAAAACUCCAUAAAUGGUAAAGUGCGCAGCCAGUUGGGAGCAUGAAAUGAACACUCAGUGUGAAGUGGAAGUUAUUUUGACUCACUUCCAUGCCAAUGAAAAUAUUAAAGGAUAAUAAUAAUAAUAAUAAUAAUAAUAAUAAUAAUAAGCGAGUGAUUAAACGUUCCAUCAGCUGAGGCGUUUGUUUACGGCUACGCACAGACAGACCGGCCUGUCCUCGGUUUAUAUGGCGCCGUUUCAUUUGUCGUAAUCGAAUGAAUAGUUUUAUUUCUCUUAAUUUACAGGUUUGUGUCGGCUCGCGUUCUUUCAUUUAUAAAAAAAAAUAUUUUUAAAUGAAUGCCAAUAAAAUGAAACGGCUGGUUUUCAUCGAAUAUUCUCGAUGGUACUUUUUAAUCCCCCGACCUAGUGAUCUAGCAUGAAGGUGUGUUAUUUAUUUAUUUAUUUAUUUAUUUAUUUUUAAUCGAGACUCCGAAGCAUUUCUGUAAGUCGCUCUGGAAAAGGGCGUCGGCUAGAUACUGUAAACGUAAUAAAAAUAAGCGAUUUAAACUCGACAGCGUGUCCCAGAUAUGAAAGUGCAGUGAUCCGUGCUAGCGAUAUGAUUUUCAAGUCGAGGUUUACGUUAGUUAGCGUACCUAUGUGCGAGUUCUCCCACGCUCGGGAGCACGAGUAGGAUACGAACGUGUGAAUACCAAAUUUCUUCCAUGCAGGUCUUCCAUGAAGCUUUCCUUAAUAAAGACACUAAAAUCAUUUUAAAACACUGAAACUUUUUUUUUCCCCUUCCUGCUGGGUGGGGGUGGGGGGUGGUGGGUGUAAUUUUCCAUUAAUUCACGGUUUUGUAAUGCACUUCCUGCUAAAGAACAUUGUCACAGAUUCAGAUUUCAAACAUCAAAGAGUCUUUAUUAUUUUUUUCCCCCACCCCUUAUUGUGUGCAAGUUUAAGAAGAGAACAAGCUUCACUUCUUAACGAUUUUUUUUUUUUUUUUACAUUUUUUUAUUUGCUCAUUUAGGGUCUGAAUGUCUGAGUGCACAACCAAGCGCUGCUUCGUCUUUUAUCGGUUAUUAGAAACGGGUCCGAUUUUCAAAACGUUCCAGGUUUGAGUACUACGAAGAACUAUAUUACAUUACAUUAUAUUACAUCGUGUUUAAGAACUCAGUAUUCGCUUGUGCACUCAGAAGCGUUGGACCGUUUUCAUGUUCGUCUGUCCGUUUUCUUUUUGUUUUGUUUUGUUUUUUUUCUUCCAGACAUCAGUUUGCUUUUGUACAGACAGUCAGAGGACAUUACUAAUUCUCCUGACAUCGUAACAUUCAUUCAUCUAAAAAAACAAACAACAAAAAAACAGUGCUAUAGGACUAAAACACAGAGUGUAAAAAGGCAGCUUGAUUUAAUAUGGCUAGAUUUCAUUAUUUUCACCAAAAACACAAAAUCUCUGCACCGAGAAUCGUUAUAUGACAUGCUGUAAUAAUCACCAAGGACGGUGUUUGUUUUUCAUGAACGCUAUCCCUGGGAGGUCCCUAGGGGGUCUGCCUAAGUAGCCCAUGUGUUCUGAGGACCUUUGCAAGGCAAUCCCAUAACCCAUAAUGGUGAUAUUAAUAUACGUUCAGCACGUGUCUAUUUUGACCUGUACACACUUUAGCCCCGUACUAAGACGACUUCUGAAUCAUGAAUCGGUGUUUAGACAAAGAUGUUUUCACGAGAUUCGCUAAUCAGGAUAGAAAUUCUUGUUUGUUUCAGCAUCAUUUAUUUGAAAAAAAAUCUGAAAAUUGUUGAUGAUUUCAUUACAGGCUCAUUCUUAAGUUCUGUGUAGUCUAUUCUCACACUAUACACUUGUGUUCUGGACUAGCUAAUACCUGGGUGUUUGACAAUAAAGUAAACGAACGCUAACAUUUAGUGCUAAACGCAAAUAGAUCAUUGAGCCUCCAGGGGAAUUUUUUUUAAAUUUAUUUAUUUAUUUAUUUUUUAAACGGCUGGCCAAAAAAUCUUCCCUCUUAAUUUUUUUUUUUUUUUUUUUUUUAAUCUGUUUUUGUUGCGAGAAUCUUGCUCAGUGUGUUGUCAGCCAUUUUAAAGCCCUCUAAUUUCUCUGCUCCCUUCUGCUAUAUACUGUUGAGCAUACUUCCUUUCCUGGCAGUUUUAGUACAUCAUCUGCAUAUUAACCUAUCACAGAGCUCACAAUAAAAAAAAAUUAAAAAAACAAAACAAAACUCCAAAUUUGAGACACAGCUAUUAUCUUUCAUUCACUUUUUUCUUUGUCUGGCUGCCAGCAGCCUUGGUUUAGAAACGAUUGUUACUAGGCAACAAAACCAAUUAAAAAAUAAUAAUAAUAAUAAUAAAAAAAACGAGGUGUGGCUUACUACAGUCUCAGUUCAAUAUACGAAAUAGCAUGAGCGUCAGUGGAUUAGGACCGAUACCGCUGAACAAAUUUGGAUUAGAUAGAGUUUUAAAAAUGAACCCUUCCAACUUUUUGUCACGUAAUAUUUUAUCACCAUUUGAUCACGCUCUGAUUAAAAACUCUCUGACUGAACUUUUCGUUCCAAGGCACAAUAAAAAAAAAAAAUCCCUUUUUCUGCGUUUUCCAGGAACCAGGCGAAGACGAUUCACCCCCCAUGUGUGCUGUGCUGCUGUUGUAGCGAUUUGGUCCUCCAAUAAAUAAUAAUAAAAUUAAAAAAAGCAAAAUACAUUGCAAUAUAAUCUGCAGCAUCUGUGUACAC